ensembl:lncRNA
AUGCACUUAUUUAUCACUUCUGUUUGUUUAGAUGCCGAUUCAAACAAUCCCACAAGGUAUAUUUUCCUAGUUUUCUUAUGUAAGAACAUUUAUUUACCAGUUUUAGUUUUUGUUUUACUACUUUGCACAUCUUCUCUCAGUUCUCAUUCAGACACAGGACUGCCGGCUUUGCUGAUGCUGAUAAUUCAUGGUGACUACAUAAGAGCGGGUGGUCCUUACUGCAGACACCAGUUUCGUAAUACGUGUGUCCUGGACUCAAUCCUGGCUGCUUUUCACGUUUGUUACAUUAAAUUCCAAAAUGUACGAUUGCUUUUAGAAUCUAACGCCACAUUCAAAGUCAUGAUGUCUUAUUUAAAUGCAGCAAACUAUGAGGACGCAAAAGGCCUAUGGCUGCGAUCGCUGAUAAAGUUUGAUAAAAUUAUUAUUGACAUUUUGGGCACUGUGAAAGAUCAUUUUCCAGUGCUUGCUAAACUGGUGUGUGCUGAAGUCGACUACUUCCAAGAAACACCUGAUGACAGUCCUGUAUAUCAAACAACAAUGAGCAAAUUUCGUGCACUUGGUGACUUGAAGGCUUUGGGCCGUGCAGAUGAUCCCACAAUGAUCCUGGUUGUUCCUAAGGUUGUGAAUCUGCCCCUGCUUGUUGAAGAUGAAAUCAAAAGGACCUUUAAGCUUCAGUUUUUGCUGCUUGGUAAAGAGAAUCACAUGGUCAUGUGUUUCAACUUCUUAGAGAACCUGUGGAUCCUCUAUGAUAACAAUCCAGCGUUGAGGUCUUUUUGUCCUUUCAACUUAGAGGAUCGGAACCGUUAUAUGAUCUGCUGGGCUGGCUACAUCAAUACGACACAAGCUGACGUGCAAAAUAAUGGUAUGACUUUUGUUGUUUUAUAAAAACUCAAGGUUAAUUGUAAGGUUUCCCUCAUCCUUUUGCACAGUUUAGUAUUGUUUCACGCAUAAGGUGACUUGCUGUUCCUUUGUUUCCAUCUACAGCCUCUCCUGAGACUGGAGUAGGAGCACAACCUUUCAACUGUGGUUCAUUCGGACAGCAAGAGGAUCCUGAAGAGUUCAUGAAAGAGAUACUGGCGAGUUUGGGAGCUCUAGCUUGUGACAGCUCUGGCUCGGAAUAAUGUUCUAAAUCAGAAGUACGCAUCAAAAAACACUGUCUGUGAUUAUAUGAAGUAUAGUUUAUAGUGUAUUUCACUGCAAUAGCAUUAGGACUCCUGGUUGUAACAUGUUUCUUUAUUUGUAUCUGCUGCUGCCUUGUGUUUUUGUGUUUUUCUGUGCGUAGUAUUACUUUUUGCCACCAGAGUAUAUGCUACCAUGCCCAGACCAAUCCAGUAACUUCUGUUAGCCUGUUAGCUUUGUUACAUUUUAUAAAUUUCAGAAAAUAAGGAGUGAGAGCCAUUCUAAGAGGGAGUUAGGGAGGUUUGUGUAUUUUAGUUUAUUUUGUUUCAGAAUUAGGUAGUUGUUUAUCAUUAGAUUUUGUUUGAUGUUCAGACCUGAUGUCAUAUUUUCUACACUAAUUAACUGGUUUACACAGUAAUUACUGUCCUGUGUUUGGUCUGGAUGGGGGUCCAGGAAGAGACUGCACUCUCUCUUUCUCUAUUUAUUGCAGAUCAUAACAAUAGUAUGUUUAAAAUGGUACAAUGCACCACUUGUUUCUACAUUAUAAUACAGUAUAAUUACUUUUUAAGGUAGCACUUUCACUGUAUUUAUUGUUCAGUAUUGUCCAGCUUUUGUGAAAACCUUCUGAAGUGGAUCUCAGACCCUGUUCCGUUCAGUUUGUUGGUUUUGUUUGUUUAAAUACCUCUUUAGAAUGUUUGCACAUUGCCUAAUUGUGAAAUUUUACUAGUUUCAAUGUAAACACAUUUCUCAUGUACAAUACACAAGUGUUGCAUAAUGCCUAUUAAAUGUACAGUAUUUACACAUUUCUCUUUUUAAUGAAUGUAAUAAAAAUAAAUAAGAAGAGAUCUGGACA